GACGAACGCUGGCGGCGUGCUUAACACAUGCAAGUCGAACGAAAAGAGGGAAAGAGCUUGCUCUUUCCGGAAUUGAGUGGCAAACGGGUGAGUAACACGUAAACAACCUGCCUUCAGGAUGGGGACAACAGACGGAAACGACUGCUAAUACCGAAUAAGUUCCAAGAGCCGCAUGGCCCAUGGAAGAAAAGGUGGCCUCUACCUGUAAGCUAUCGCCUGAAGAGGGGUUUGCGUCUGAUUAGCUGGUUGGAGGGGUAACGGCCCACCAAGGCGACGAUCAGUAGCCGGUCUGAGAGGAUGAACGGCCACACUGGAACUGAGACACGGUCCAGACUCCUACGGGUGGCAGCAGUGGGGAAUCUUCCGCAAUGGGCGAAAGCCUGACGGAGCAACGCCGCGUGAGUGAUGACGGCCUUCGGGUUGUAAAACUCUGUGAUCCGGGACGAAAAGGCAGAGUGCGAAGAACAAACUGCAUUGACGGUACCGGAAAAGCAAGCCACGACUAACUACGUG
rnacentral:rRNA from 1 species